rnacentral:rRNA from 1 species
GAUGAACGCUGGCGGCGUGCCUAAUACAUGCAAGUCGAGCGAACAGAUGAGGAGCUUGCUCCUCUGACGUUAGCGGCGGACGGGUGAGUAACACGUGGAUAACCUACCUACAAGACUGGGAUAACUUCGGGAAACCGGAGCUAAUACCGGAUAAUAUAUUGAACCGCAUGGUUCAAUAGUGAAAGACGGUUUUGCUGUCACUUAUAGAUGGAUCCGCGCCGCAUUAGCUAGUUGGUAAGGUAACGGCUUACCAAGGCGACGAUGCGUAGCCGACCUGAGAGGGUGAUCGGCCACACUGGAACUGAGACACGGUCCAGACUCCUACGGGAGGCAGCAGUAGGGAAUCUUCCGCAAUGGGCGAAAGCCUGACGGAGCAACGCCGCGUGAGUGAUGAAGGUCUUCGGAUCGUAAAACUCUGUUAUUAGGGAAGAACAAAUGUGUAAGUAACUAUGCACGUCUUGACGGUACCUAAUCAGAAAGCCACGGCUAACUACGUG